rnacentral:rRNA from 2 species
UCCGGUCUUUUGAGCGCUGUCGUACCACUUCUUCCCAUCCCGAACAGAACCGUGAAAGGCAGCAGCGGGAACGAUAGUGCCGGCGUAAGCCGAGCAUGAAAAUACCUCAAGGCCGGAU